rnacentral:rRNA from 1 species
AGCGAAACGGGAAGAGCCCAAACCAACAAGCUUGCUUGUUGGGGUUGUAGGACACUCUAUACGGAGUUACAAAGGACGACAUUAGACGAAUCAUCUGGAAAGAUGAAUCAAAGAAGGUAAUAAUCCUGUAGUCGAAAAUGUUGUCUCUCUUGAGUGGAUCCUGAGUACGACGGAGCACGUGAAAUUCCGUCGGAAUCUGGGAGGACCAUCUCCUAAGGCUAAAUACUCUCUAGUGACCGAUAGUGAACCAGUACCGUGAGGGAAAGGUGAAAAGCACCCCGGAAGGGGAGUGAAAUAGAACCUGAAACCGUGUGCUUACAAGUAGUCAGAGCCCGUUAAUGGGUGAUGGCGUGCCUUUUGUAGAAUGAACCGGCGAGUUACGAUUUGAUGCAAGGUUAAGCAGUAAAUGUGGAGCCGU